UACGUAGGGGGCUAGCGUUGUCCGGAAUCAUUGGGCGUAAAGCGCGCGUAGGCGGCCCGGUAAGUCCGUUGUGAAAGUCAAAGGCUCAACCUUUGAAAGCCGAUGGAUACUGCCGGGCUGGAGUCCGGAAGAGGCGAGUGGAAUUCCUGGUGUAGCGGUGGAAUGCGCAGAUAUCAGGAGAAACACCAAUAGCGAAGGCAGCUCGCUGGGACGGUACUGACGCUGAGGCGCGAAAGCGUGGGGAGCGAACAGG
rnacentral:rRNA from 1 species